rnacentral:rRNA from 1 species
GUGCCAGCCGCCACGGUAAUACCGGCAGCCCGAGUGAUGGCCGAUCUUAUUGGGCCUAAAGCGUCCGUAGCUGGCCGCGCAAGUCCAUCGGGAAAUCCACCUGCUCAACAGGUGGGCGUCCGACGGAAACUGCAUAGCUUGGGACCGGAAGGCUCGAAGGGUACGUGCGGGGUAGGAGUGAAAUCCCAUAAUCCCGCACGGACCACCGAUGGCGAAAGCACUUCGAGAAAACGGAUCCGACAGUGAGGGACGGAAGCCAGGGUCUCCAACCGGAUUAGAAACCCGUGUAGUCC